rnacentral:rRNA from 1 species
GACGAACGCUGGCGGCGUGCUUAACACAUGCAAGUCGAACGGAAAGGCCCUGCUUUUGUGGGGUGCUCGAGUGGCGAACGGGUGAGUAACACGUGAGUAACCUGCCCUUGACUUUGGGAUAACUUCAGGAAACUGGGGCUAAUACCGGAUAUGAGCUCCUGCUGCAUGUUGGGGGUUGGAAAGUUUCGGCAGUUGGGGAUGGACUCGAGGCUUAUCAGCUUGUUGGUGGGGUAGUGGCUUACCAAGGCUUUGACGGGUAGCCGGCCUGAGAGGGUGACCGGCCACAUUGGGACUGAGAUACGGACCAGAAUCCUACGGGAGGCAGCAGUGGGGAAUAUUGCACAAUGGGCGGAAGCCUGAUGCAGCGACGCUGCGUGCGGGAUGACGGCCUUCGGGUUGUAAACCGCUUUCGAAUGUGACGAAGCGUGAGUGACGGUAAUGGGUAAAGAAGCACCGGCUAACUACGUG